rnacentral:lncRNA from 1 species
UGAUCCUUAUUCCUUACAUCGGCAUCUGCAUAUUUGAGUAACUAGGCUCCUUCUCCAAACUUUUCUGGGUAUUAUAUUCAGUAAUAGGUGAGGCUAUGGAUUAGUUCCUGACAGGGAAAUAGAACAGGACUGAGGGCCUAUAUAGCUCAUUGUUUGGGGACCCAAAUCAAGCCAGAGUGGGUAGUCAGGUGAGAACAGUGGUUUUGCUCUACAGAUGGGGGCAGCAUGGGCUGUGCUGUUUAGGUGCCACUGUAUCUAGGACUGUGGAACAGCUUCUGUGUACACAGCUUCUGUGUACUCUGGUUAGGCCCCUGGUUGGAUGGGCUGAAGACUAUAUUCAGCAAUGAGCAGGUUUAUGAAUUAGAUUUCUUGCCCAGGUGCAGCAGGAGUAGCAGCUCUAAAGCCAGUAAGGCUCUUUGUUGUCUUAAUUCAAGCCAGGCCACACCCUAGGUUUUCUGGCUGAAUAUUCUUUGCACACCAUCAGCUUCGCCCAUCCUUCUCUAGGCAUGAAUACUGCUGGGCUGCACAGCUUCCAGGAGUUGUUAUCAGCCCUUCUAGUCAGAUGGGGCAGGAAGAUAACCCUCCACAGCAGGUGGGAUGGGGCUAGGCUUGGCUUCUUUGCCUGGACAGAAGGAGGAGGCACACUCUUGGCUAUUCUUAAUUUCUCAAGCAGGCUCUCUAGUUGGAAGGAGCUGGGGGCUACCCUCCGCCGUGUCUAUGAAUUAAUCUCCCUGCCUAUGCAUAGCACAGGAACGCCCAGAGCCAUUACUAACUUUGCUUUGGGAUUAAUCAGCUCUGCCUGCCCACCUCUCAGCUGGAGCACCACUGGGCCAGAGCUUCCAGGAUUUAUUGCAAGCCCUUUGGGUCAGAUGGCUAGAGACGCUCUCCAUGGUGAGUGGCUAUGACUCCUCUCUUUUCUUGAGUGUGGGCAAACUUGGCUCUAUGGCUGAUGCAAAUCAGGCAGAUCUGUACCUUGCUAAGUCCCCUGGUUGUACUGUACUCCCAGCCCACCAGCUCUGUUGAUGAGCAAAGAUGCUGGUUGUGAUCACUGCUUGGGUACUGAGGUAUGAAUUCUGUCACAAUCCAUGUGCUGACUGUUGCGUGUCCCUUCCCCCUUUAUCACAGUCCAACUUUCAGUGGUCAAGCCCCACAGAUUCCCCUGCAAGCAUAGUGGGUCAGAUCAGAGCAGUGGCUCCCACAAAAGGGAUGGGGGGGGGUUGCUGGCUGUCCCCCAGUUCUCUUCUCCUAUGGGAGGAAUCAGAGGCUCAAGGGAGGCCUCACCCAUGGAGCAGUGUGAUCAAUGAAUGUGUAGUUGCUUCUCUCUUUUAAUGCCAUCUGUCUUGGUGUCUGUGGUGCAAGGGGUUCUUCAGCCUCACCUAUGUGUAAUAAGGUUCUCUCAAAUAGUGUCCUGUCCCCAAAUAAUUGUUAGCUGUUCCUCCCGUGAGGGGGAGCAGAACCAGGAAUGAUCUUAGCGAUGUCACCCCACUCUGAGCUCAUGUUGACAAUGUGUGUGUCCUUUGUAGCCCAGAUAUUUCUGGCACUUGAAAUGAAGUUCUCUUUUUAUUGUUCUCCUAGCUUUAGGACCUAAAAUAAGAGCUCUUCACUGCCACUGGCACAAAGGCAGCUGAAGUGACUAGGAAGCAAGUGCCAAUGAGAAUAGUGAGUCAAAAAUCCUUGAUUCAUGGAAAAGGAAUCCCAGAAGGAGCUCUAAACGUGACACAUUCCAAAUGAUUUAUUUAGGGUUUUUCCAAUCAAAAUCAUUUGUGCAAAAAAGAAACAGUUCUCAGACAUACAGUACUAUAUACUGCCAAAUAUGCAGAAGAACAUUGCCAGCAGUUGAGUGGUGUAGUCUACUUUGAAAUAUAUUCAGUUUUCUUAGGAUGGACGUAUGUCUGCCUCAAAGUUACUGUUUCUUUCUAGUAAUGCUGUCUAGAGUAAUGUAUUUGCUUUCGUCAGGUUAAAGAAAGAGUGACAUCUCUCCCAGGUUCUAAAGCAAUUACCACAUAAAAAUGCUUUAAAAAUUUUAGCCGAUACUUAAGGAAACCAUUACCAGCUAGUAUGGUUCCUACUAAUGCUAGUAGUCAAAUAAAGGUAUGAAAAGAACAUUAAUCUAGAAAUAAUAGAGAUGGAAAGAGGAAGAGGUAGAAAACUCAAAAAGACAGCUAAACUGUUGCUUUCUUUACAGGUUCCCAAUUAUGAUAAUAACUGUAUAAGCUUCUAAAAUAAGUAUAAUUUGAUAGAAACUUCAUGAGCCUAAUAUGAGGUAAAUCUGUACUUUAUAGAUUUUUAUUUUUCACUUUGGUAAAAUGUACAUAACAAAAUUUAUCAUUUUUAAGGGUGCAAUUCAUUGGUAUUAAGUACAUUCGCAAUGUUGAGCAGCCAUCAUAACUGUCCAUUUUAAGAACUUUUUUAUCCUAAACAAAAACUGUACUCACUAAACAAUAACCCCUUAUUUCUCUCCUCUCCUCAGCCUCUGGUAAAUUCUGUUUUAUUUUCUGUGUCUAUAAUUUGCCUAUUCUAAUUACCUCAUAGAAGUGGAAUCAUACAAUAUUUGUCUUUUUGUGCCUGGCUUCUUUCAUUUAUCAUGUUUUCAAAGUUCAUCAAUAUUAUAGCAUGUAUCACAGUUUCAUUCCUUUUUAAGGCAGAAUGAUAUUUCAUUGUCUAUAUAUAUACCACAUAUGGUAAUAUUUAGUUGGAAAACACUUUUGGUACAUUGCCUUUCUGUUAUAUCAGUGAUAUCUAGCACACAACACUAUUGCAUAACCUUUAGUAAAUGCCCAGCACUGUGCACUGUGAGUGUGCCAUAAUUUAAUUCACUCAAAACCCAUUGAUACACAUUUACUAAGUUCCGAAUUGUUUUAUGAUUUCAAGCAGUGUGAUAAUGGACAUAGAGGUGUGUAUCUUUAUAUAUCAGUGUUUUUACUUUAGAUGGAAGAAUUCUUAGAGUGGUUUGAAGUGGUAUUGUUGGGUCAGAGAUUAUGCACAAACAUAGUAAUUUAAAUGGCGUACACUGACUAUAAAAACCAUGAACUUUUUCAACAGAUAGUAUGCCUGUAUUUUCUGUAACCAUUUAUGACUGUCUUUAAAAUGAAUUCAGGUAAUAUAAGGGAGUCCAUUUUAAUGUGAUUGGAGGAAGGAAAUAAUCUUACUUUUUUCAUUUCUAAUUUAUGGAGGAAAAAUUCUAUACACAAGUAUUGAAAGAUUUCAUGUCUCUCAAUCACAUAUCAUUUCAGAAAUACUAUAGAGUACAUCACAGAUGUCAGUCAGAUCUUGUAACAACAAUGUAGAAAACUAGAACUGUCUAUAGCUAGGGUUUGUUUGUUAAGCUUCAGCAGUGGAUCAUUCGUAUCUAGCCUAAUCUAAAUUUUUAGUUAGAUUAAUUUAAAAAAUAAAAAAUAGAUUAAAUUUUAACCUAAAUCUUUUUUUAGUUCAAAUUUGUGUACCUGCAUUAUGAUAAAUCUUUUACUUUGUUGUUUUUUCCCCUUAGUUUCUCUUUAAUAUAUCCUUUUUAAUUUAUGUUAAAACAGAAUAGUUAAAGCCCAGUCAUGAGAGUGACUUAUGAAGCUAAACUGCAGAAUAUUGAAAUAUCUGAAGUAUGAACACAGUUGGCAAAACUUUUAGCUACUUUCCUUAGAGGAAGACUGUUCUAAUUUGCCUUGUCCAAGAAAGGAGAAACAGAGAGCUUGCUGGCAAUUGCAUCAUAUGUUUUACUUGAAUUGGACAUUAACAGGCCAAAAGGGCAAGGAUGUUCGUAACAUAUUUUGAACAGCUGCUUAAAAGUGAAGGGUUGCAAGAACACAGAUAAACAUACCCUAAACAUUUCACAACAGUAUUUUAAGGUAUGCCUUUUCUUUGGGGUUCCCCUUGUGGCACAGUGGAAACGAAUCUGACUAGUAUCCAUGAGGCUGCAGGUUCAAUCUCUGGCCUCACUCAGUGAGUCAGGGAUCUGGCAUUGCUGUGAGCUGUGGUGUAGGUUGCAGAUGUGGCUCGGAUCCUGUGUUGCUGUGGCUGUGGUGUAGGCC